ensembl:lncRNA
UUCUUUUUUUUUUUUUUUUUUUUUUUUUUGUAAACUUCAGUGGUUGAAGUCUGUUCCAUAGACUUGAAAUGUUUUUUAGAAAUCCUCACAUCAGCCAAAGUAUCCAAAGUACAGAAAAGGAAGGUACAAUUAAUAUGCCUUUGCAAGUAAAAGACGCCAAGAGGCAAGCAGAACAUUACUUAGCACAAUGGCAAAGUAUUUAAUAAGAAUUCUAUCUACUGGUGCAAAAUAAAAUAUUUCUUUUAGCUUCAUAAGAUCUGUCGGAUGGUGAACAAUGCUUUUGUCAAGAAAGGGAAUGUUUUCUUGGUGGUUGCACAAACAGAAUAAACCAGAAAAAGAACAUUAUUUUAUAUAAAUGAUCAAUCUCUUCAUGGUCCUUGAGUCCUUGAGGCUCAUUUCAGAACAGAUUUCUUCACGGCUACACCAGGUAGUCUGCGAUGCAUGUAAUAGAAUCAAAAACCUCCAAUACAAUUCCAGACUGGUAGGAUCUCUGUUUAUCUCCAGGCUCACUUUUUCUAACAUCGGGUCUAGAUUUAAUGACCUUGAUAACUUCUAAAGGACAAUCAAGAAGAUCUUCAAAACCAGACUUUACUUGUAGCUCUACCUGGUAACUAAUAUAGGUGCUAUUUUACUUUAGGAAAGUGAAAGAAAUGACAAAACUAUAUUACAUAUAAAGCUUCUUAAUGUAUAACGAGAUUUGACUGUUCCUACUCUAAUAUUUUUCCACAACUUCGCAGUGCAGGAGGCAGUUGCAAAACACUCUAAAAGAAAACACCCUGAAUUGCAUUAAAUUACUUUGAGCUAUAAUAAAAAGCUUUUUCUGGAUACCUCAGUGGAAGCUAAGUAGCGCUGUGUAGCUCCACGAAUAAAUGUAAAAAGACAUACUAGGUUUCUUUAAGCAGACAGUUCAGCUCCACUCCACUGAUUGUUCUUGUCCUUUCCUGCACAGACACUUUUCAGUAUUCAAAGAAACUUUGCAGUACAUGUAGAUGCUCACAACCCUAAAAGACAAAAUUCUCUAUAAAUGCAGACCCAUAAUACCUUACUUUAUUUUCUUCUAGCUGCUGCCCAAUAUCCCAAAAGAAAUGAAUACUUUCUGGAACGCAUAAUUUUUCUCUUUGUUCUAAAAUCAACUCUUUUUAACCCUAACCUUGGAGCACUAGCACUGCAGAUAUUGAAAUACAGUUGAAUUGUGCAAUUUACAUGAUAACAUAAAAAUAAAAGGCACUGUUCUUCUGAUUCACAUGCAUGCAUGGCAGACUUUUAAGCAUGUGGUGAAGAAAUCACAUGAACAGAUCCUUGGUGAAGAACAGAAAGCAAAAUUUAUCAACUACCAAUGGAAAGAACAUGAGCCUGUAUUUUUAAUAGAGUAUGUAUCCCUUCAUCUGUAAUUUUCACCAUCACCAACUCUUAGCAUUUGGCUGAUUUAUCAAAGCAACAAGAAGACAGUAAUAAUUGAAAGCAAUUUCACAUUGAAAAAUAUCCUUUUUAUACCCAGUUAUUUUAAAUUUCAUUGAAACGUGCCAUUUUUCAACACUUGCUUAAAAAUAAAUUUGGAUUUUCAGAACAAAUUGUAGAAUGGAUUUUGUAAUUUAUUUCAUGUUCUCACUCCUUUUUGCCCCUGAAAAGCAGGUGAGGAAAAGGACUGCAAUGAAAUAGACUGAAAAUUUUUGGGGAUUUUAUUUUAGAUGCACAUCCCAAACUGAUAUUUUUCCCAGGGAUCAUUUGAGAAAAGUCUGUUUGAAAUUUAAAACUACCCAUUAGCCUAGGACAUUUACAGUUCAUUUAUUCACCUGCACUUCCAAGACAAACGAUAGAAGCAAAUUUUAGUCCUCUCAACACACUGUAAUUAAUGGCAGAGCUUGACUUACUUCCUAUAGAUGUUGCCGGAUGAUGCAGAUCACACUGCAGGACAGACAGCGAGUAGAGGUUUACUUAAUUAUGCAUAGUUGCCCAAUGGGAUGUGGGACAUAAAAUACCAACAGAGAAGAGAGGAGCGGAGGGGAGGGGAAACUAUUUCGGUUGGAAGUGACCUAUAAUGAUCAUAUAGCCCAGCUGCUUGACCAAUUCAGGGCUGACCAGAAGUUAAAGCAUGUAAUUAAAGGCAUUGUCCAAAUGACUCAUAAACACUGACAGGCUUGGGGAAUCGAGCACCUCUCUAGGAAGCCUGUUUCAGUGUUUGACCAUCCUCUCAGUAAAGAAAUGUUUUAUAAUGUCCAGUUCAAACCUCACCUGGUGAGACUUGAAGCACUCUUGCUUCAAAAUACUCUUGCACCUACUUCAGCGAAAGGCACUGGCUGGCAUCUAUCAUCCUAAGGCACUCUGUGACUAAGGAUAGCUUCAUAGUAGAUAGGAAUAAUUUUACGUGCAGAGGUUAAGAUUCAUCUCACCCAUCUUUGGCUGACUAAUUGCUAAAUUGCUAGAGUAAGCUGUCUAUUUAGGCUCUCCUUUGGCAGGACUGAGUCACUGCCACCUCCGGUGGAUGAAUCAUCCUACCUGCCCAGAUGAUUACCACAAGCUAAUUAGCUUUCCCUUAGACAUCUCACUGUCAGCUGCAGCUGGUGACUCCUACUCAAAAUAAUGCCAGACUUUCAUAGCAUUAAACUACAACAAAAGAGGAGAUGAUACAGAUUUCAGGCAAUAUUUGCCCGUUUUGAAAAGCCCACAGGAGGAUGUUACAAUGAAACAGGUUUCUCUCUUCGCCACCUGUAUAAGCAAGCACAACAUUUCCAUGUCCCUGUGAACACAAGUCAUCAGGUUCAGCUUGGGGAUCCCACUGCCACUGUUGUGGCCAGCCCUCCUGUCCCUGCUGCCUCAUCCUCAGCUUUCCAGAAUGAUCAUAAACUGCAAACAGUGAAAAGGCCAUUUAGGAGCAGUCUUUCGAGACUGUGAAUAGAAGACAGCUGGGCAGUGUUACAGUACCAACUAUCAAAUGAUCAGAUAGAUACCAAAUGGAGUUUCCUCAGUAAAAGCUGCUUGUUCACCAGUUUCCUUACCUACACACCUUGCCUUACUUCCCAGGCUCCUAAUGCCUUAUUGUGUUGUUCAAACACAAUCCAAAUAUAUUGAAUGAUCACACCUUACUUGUUCCUAAUGAAGUUUAAAUUUAUUGGUAGUAAAUAUUUUGUUUCACUUUAUAGUUUUACAUAUAAUUAACUCACUAUGGACUAGAACUCAUAUAAUAUUUAGUACUUUUACACAUUGCAUUGUGUAUAUUAGUGUACUUCCUAUUAAAUAUCUGAGUCUGUCCUGCAAUUUCAGGCAAAAAGAAUUUUUUUUUUUUUUAAAUUUGUACAGAUACACGGAAUAAAGGGACAUACUGAAGCAGGUUUCUUGACUAUAGGUAUAUCAGGUAACCAUCAGCAACUUUGAAGCAGGGAAGAGUGACAUUUUUGACAGCAGCUCUUUUGAUUACUAGAAUUUGAAGCUUCCUUCAGAGGUUUCCUUCCUUCCCA